ensembl:lncRNA
GGAGAAUAAUAAGGGGGUAUUAGCACCUUUGUGGGAGUGCAUUUAUUUCCAUCUCCCACCACCGUGAUUCAUGUCCUGGGAGCGUUUUGUAUUAGUCGCGGAUUUGCAAAGGGCCUGUAAUUCUGCUGCAUCAACAGCAGAAAUUAAUGAAUGUGGAUUCAGAUCUGCCUUUGUGGAGGGGCAGCUUAUCCCCGUUCAUUUCUCCCCUGAUUCAUAUUUUAGGGUUGGAGAUUUUUUUUUUACCUCGGUUGUUCUCCAUUUUCGGGCAAAUGUGUGAGGUCAUACCUGGCUGCACCCAAAUGAGUUCCUACCUCUGGCUGAACUCACCAAAGGUUGAUUGGAAGAUAGCGCUGAUUGGACCCCGGAUAACCUGGGGAGCUGGAAAACUAUUCUCUGGGACACGCCCCUCGCGAUAGGACAGUAACGGGGCCGACGCCCAUAUCUCCAGUGCUUACCUGGGACUCACAAGGAGAAAGACAGCAGCUACACCAUCAGCCAACCGAUGAUGAGGGGCAAGGGGCGUUCCAGCUGGAGAGACUGACAAAGGCAUUAUAUACUGGACAGGUUUAGCCCAGACGCUGGCCCUCUCCACUGGAUUUCCAUACAAUUAAAUUCUUCUCGGAGCUCGAAAACAAACUUAAAGCUAUCCCUAUGGUUUGUCGUAUCAGACCAUUUCGAUCGUGACUGAAGCAGCGUGCAGAGAGACAGAACAGCGAGGACAUGAGAUGGAACAUCUGGGCCUUUUCAUCAUUGUUUUCUGGAAUUUAUUUUUUCGACCUCGCGACUCAGGAAAUCUCAGGAAAUUAAAACGAGCC